UGGGGAAUUUUCCGCAAUGGGCGAAAGCCUGACGGAGCAACGCCGCGUGGAUGAUGAAGUCUUUCGGGACGUAAAAUCCUUUGAGCAGGGAAGAAGCGAGUGACGGUACCUGCAGAACAAGCAUCGGCUAACUACGUGCCAGCAGCCGCGGUAAUACGUAGGAUGCGAGCGUUGUCCGGAAUUAUUGGGCGUAAAGCGAACGUAGGCGGUCUUUUAAGAUUGGUCUUAAAGACUGGGGCUCAACCCCAGGAGUGGACUGAUAACUGGGAGACUGGAGGACGUCAGAGGAAAGUGGAAUUCCGAGUGUAGCGGUGAAAUGCGUAGAUAUUCGGAGGAACACCAGUGGCGAAAGCGACUUUCUGGGGCGUUCCUGACGCUGAGGUUCGAAAGCUCGGGGAGCAAACAG
rnacentral:rRNA from 1 species